rnacentral:rRNA from 2 species
UUAAUUGAAGAGUUUGAUCAUGGCUCAGAUUGAACGCUGGCGGCAGGCCUAACACAUGCAAGUCGAGCGGUAACAGAUUGAUAGCUUGCUAUCAAUGCUGACGAGCGGCGGACGGGUGAGUAAUGCCUGGGAAUAUACCCUGAUGUGGGGGAUAACUAUUGGAAACGAUAGCUAAUACCGCAUAAUCUCUUCGGAGCAAAGAGGGGGACCUUCGGGCCUCUCGCGUCAGGAUUAGCCCAGGUGGGAUUAGCUAGUUGGUGGGGUAAUGGCUCACCAAGGCGACGAUCCCUAGCUGGUCUGAGAGGAUGAUCAGCCACACUGGAACUGAGACACGGUCCAGACUCCUACGGGAGGCAGCAGUGGGGAAUAUUGCACAAUGGGGGAAACCCUGAUGCAGCCAUGCCGCGUGUAUGAAGAAGGCCUUCGGGUUGUAAAGUACUUUCAGUUGUGAGGAAGGCGUUGGAGUUAAUAGCUUCAGCGUUUGACGUUAGCAACAGAAGAAGCACCGGCUAACUCCGUGCCAGCAGCCGCGGUAAUACGGAGGGUGCGAGCGUUAAUCGGAAUUACUGGGCGUAAAGCGCAUGCAGGCGGUCUGUUAAGCAA